AACUUUGGCAAAUCCAGAAGAGGAAAGCUGCGCCCCGAAGUUGAAUCGUCCAUCGACUCCAUCAAAUCAUCACGAGCAAGUCAAUCUCUACACAGAACUAGAGCUUUUACCAUGAAGCAAUUAUUCAAUGAACAAGAUCCGACAUGUGUUGUGUCGGUUUAACUCUAUACAUAAAAAUCCCCCACUGAUGUCGUUUAAUCGAUUCCAUCAGUAACUUCUUCGACACGAUGCUGAUCGAGCCAAAAAAGUUAGUACAUCUGUUAGGAAAGAGCUUCAUAGCGAAUUAAUCAUCAACAAAUUCCAGGGUAGCAGCGACAAUUUCAGAAGGAAGGUUAAGGUAAGUUCUAAGUAAUUCAAUUCCAUCAAUUAUUAGGUACCAGUAGAAGUGCAUCCACACCAAUGUCUCGUGAACAUACUCCUUAGAUUCAAAUCUCUACAUAAGCUUCAUCACUUGUAGAUUUAGUACAUCAAUUAACAUAUGCUUGACCUACUGAUGAAAGAUAGGAUACGUAUGUUUUAGCAUUAUUUGUGCAACAAAGUGAAUGUUUAUGAUUUUUCUUAAUACAAGUUUCUCUGCAUACAAUUAAUUGAACAUGUAUUUUGUUAUAUAAAGUGAAAAAUUGUUAUACUCAAUAAAGUCGUAUGAGCAAAAUCUAGGUUAUUGUAGUUGUCCAACUGUACAACUGAAACUGACAUAAAUUUUCCAAUUAUUUGUUUUAUUUUCCUUAGUCGACUAACUCUUCAUGUUUCGUUAGGUUCUCUUAAAACCAAUAGUGUCGCAUCUUCUAACAGAUCCACCAGUUACCAUGGUGGAAUAUUUCAAUAUGCCUUCAAAAGAAGUCGAUAACUUAUUAGUUGUGUGUUGGUAAGAUGAUUUUAACUGCUGGUUUUGACCUCAUCUGGAAUCUGCUAAACCAUGAGAUCAAAACUAUGAAGUUUGAAGAACCUAUCCAUGAGGAAAGUGCAAAGCAAAUUGAAGUACAAGGGUAUUAUGUACAUAUGCUAUAUAUAUAUAUAUAGUUUAAUUUUUUUUAUUUUUCUAGGAAUUCAUAAAAAUGAGGUUAUACAAUUUGGACUUGAGUA